GUCCUUUUCUAUUCUAUAGGCUAUUUUCAUGUAUUUCCCUCUUUGCAAUUGGAAGGAAAUCCCCGAUUCUAAAGGGCAAACCCUAGGUGAACGUCGUGAUUUGUGGCCCUAAAAUUUGACCCGCAUCUACCAUUGCUAGAACCUAUCAAAGAAGACGUUAUUACGUGAGCUGUUUGGGUAAGUUCUCGAUAACUCCGUUCGUAUGUAAUCACUUUCUCCAAUCCUCUUACAGAAGUUCAUCGAUACAAUGUUGAGAAAAAUUGUACUUGUCAACAUAAUUCGUCUCACGUAAAUCAUUGUUUAAAAAAAAAAAAAAUUAAUGCCCAUCUAUGGAGAUUACCGGAUAGAUGCACCAGUGGACUUAGCCGCAUGUAUUUAGUUUAUAUUUAGGAACAUGGCGUGGGAAAUAUGUGUUUUUCGAGUUAAAUUGAAAUAAUGUGGUUUUUUUCUUUACUGAAUUAUGUGGAUCCGAAAGAAGAUUACAAUGACUGGAAAGAACAAGGGCGUUUGUCACAAUUGUAGGAAGCCCGGACACUACUUGUCGGAUUGCCCAUCGAAGCAACGAUGUCUAGAUUGUGGGUUGGGGUUCGUGAAAUUAUGGAGGUCGAGAAGAAUACUAAAAACAUAGAACGAUUAUUCUUAAGUUGCAAAAGAGAUUGCCGGUUUUUUGAUUGGAAUGAUCUUCGUCAUCGAGGGCAAAAUCAAUGCAAUUUCAAGGAGAAGAUUUGUCGUCCAUGUUCAAGAUAUUUGCUCAAAUAACUUAAGAAAAGACGUGGAGAUAUCCUUAAACAUAAUUAUGCUCGAGGGAAAAUGAUCUAUAUAAGACGUGUUUGUCAUUUUUAUGUUUCUGUAGUAGGCACUAGCUUCAGUUUAAGUUAUAUUUGGUGUAUGUUGUUGGCCACAUUGAAUGUGGGCGUGCAUUAAUCCUAUAAGUGGGCAUACAUUCAAAGAUGUCAACUGGGGAACCUAUAUGCUGAAUUUCAAGCAACACUUUUGCUUAAUUUGUAAUUUGAACUGUAUUUUUAUUCUAUUCAGCAACUGUAUUGAGCUUAUUAGUAAAUGACUUCGUGUUGAGCUUAUUAGGAAAUACAGC
rnacentral:lncRNA from 1 species